GGGGCCGUAGUGUAACUUGGUUAGCACCCACGGCUGGGGGUCGUGGAAUCGGAGUUCAAAUCUUCGCGGCCCCA
rnacentral:tRNA from 1 species